rnacentral:ncRNA from 1 species
GCCGGACCGCGCUUUCCGGCACACCGCCCCGCCCGUCGCCGAUCCCUGACGGGCCCCUCCGUCCCCCGCGGUGUGUCACGUGACUGAGCGAGCAGACACGGUGGCGCGGGCCGAUUUUUCGCCCCGGACGUUCGCGUCCGGGGCACUUUUGU